rnacentral:rRNA from 1 species
AACGAACGCUGGCGGCAUGCCUAACACAUGCAAGUCGAACGAGACCUUCGGGUCUAGUGGCGCACGGGUGCGUAACGCGUGGGGAUCUGCCCUUUGCUUCGGAAUAACAGUUAGAAAUGACUGCUAAUACCGGAUGAUGACUUCGGUCCAAAGAUUUAUCGGCAAAGGAUGAACCCCGCGUAGGAUUAGCUAGUUGGUGGGGUAAAGCCUACCAAGGCGACGAUCCGUUAGCUGGUCUGAGAGGAUGAUCAGCCACACUGGGACUGAGACACGGCCCAGACUCCUACGGAGGCAGCAGUGGGAAUAUUGGACAAUGGGCGAAAGCCUGAUCCAGCAAUGCCGCGUGAGUGAUGAAGGCCUUAGGUUGUAAAGCUCUUUUACCCGGGAUGAUAAUGACAGUACCGGAGAAUAAGCUCCGGCUAACUCCGUGCCAGCAGCCGCGGUAAU